CGUUGAAACACCAGUUCCUGUAUGAUCACUGAAGUUAAGCAAUGCCAAACCUGGUCAGUAUCUAGAUGGGUGACUACAUGGAAAAACCAGGUGCUGUGA